ensembl:lncRNA novel transcript
AAAACCAGCUCUAGGCUUACUGGGAACGAGAGCUACGGAACCGUCCUGUGUUCCCAGGGCUGCGGGGACCGUAAUCCUCACUGUGGCGAGUGCCAUUUCUCCACUGCUAGAUACGACAGGACUUUUUGGUCAGAUUUAGGGCAGAGGAGCAUCAGGACCAGAGUCAGACAACCUCUAUGAAACCACGGACCACACGGAGCAUCGGCGCACCCGGCCACUCCAGCUGUCCCCUUACGCCUAGGAACGCACACCUGCCCCUUUAGAAAUCAAAUGUUGAUAGGAAUGAGUUCCCAGUGCAACCUCGGAAGCCAGGUGCUGAAGAUGACACAGGCCCAUGAGAUAGGAUCCGAAAGACCGCACCGAGAGGGACAGCCUGCUGACCCACUGGGACAGUGCCAGGACAUAAGCAAAACUUAACUGCUACUGCAUUUAAACCUCAGUCCACUUGGGUCUACUAGUGUAGCCCACCCAACCAUUAAGGGUAGAACUGACCACAGUCACAUUAAGAUCUGAUAUAAACAAGUGGGACUAUAUCAAACUAAA